AUAUUAAGGUAAUCUUCUAAAUUAUACUUCUAGUAAUUGAUAUGACUUUUAAUAUUUUUUUACUUGAAAUUAAUUUAUCUUUUAGAUAAUAAUUGAAAUAUAUUUUUGAACGAUUUUCAAUUUUACUUAUGUUCCCGCUCCUCAUACGAGUGAAGUGCUCUCGAAUACAUUAAUGAAAGUUUUGUUAGGGUGGAACAUAGAUAGAAAAUUGUCAACUAUUACAUUGGAUAAUUGCUCUACUAAUGAUGCUAUGGUUGAUGAGUUGUUGGGGCGCUUAGAUUCAAAAUAUUUGUUGUUGGGGGUUUCCAUGUUGCAUAUGCGUUGUUGUGCUCAUAUCUUGAACCUAAUUGUGAAAGAUGGUAUAAAUUUGGUUAAGGAGAGUGUGAAAAAAAUUCGUGGCAGUGUGGUGUAUUGGACUUCAACCCCUAAAAGACACGAAACCUUUGUGAGUUGGUGUAGUAAGUCAAAUGUUCAAUUUACAAAAAAAUUAGCUCUUGAUUGUCCAACUAGAUGAAACUCCACUUAUAUGAUGUUAGAGACUGCAUGGUUGUAUUGAAAUGUGUUUCCUCGAUUAAGACAAAAGGAUCCUAAUUACAAAAGUUUGCCAAGCAAUGAGGAGUGGGACCUUGCUAAAGAAAUUUGUGGUAAAUUAAAGUUGUUUUAUGAUGUGACACAAUUAUUUUCGGGUACUCAAGUUCCAACAGCUAACAUUUAUUUUAACAAAGUAUGUGAUAUAAAUGUUGCCUUGAAAAAAUGGUCUGCAUCUCCAAAUCCACUGAUUAGUAAUAUGGCAUGUAGUAUGAGGGUAAAAUUUGAUAAGUAUUGGGAAGAAAUUCAUGGUAUGAUGGGUGUUGCUGUCGUUCUAGAUCUUAGGUAUAAGCUUGCUAGGCUUGAGUAUAAAUUCUCAAUGUUAUGUCAAAAUCAAGAUGAGUGCUUAAGUAAGAUUGAGAGGAUCAAACAGAUAUGCUAUGACUUGCUUCAUGAGUACCAACAGAAUCCGUCUAAUUCAAGUAAUGCAUUUGAGAAUUCUACACAAGAUCUAUAGAUGAAUGCAGAGCAAGAUGAUGAUGCUGCUUACCAGUUGUAUAUUAGACAAAAGAAGAGGAAAAAUGGUUCAUUUGUGAAGACUGAAUUUGAUCAUUACAUAGAGGAAGAUGUUCAUCCUUUGAGUGCUGACUUUGAUAUUUUAUCUUGGUGGAAAGUGAAUGGAGCUAGAUUUCCAAUACUUCAAAGAAUUGCGAGAGAUAUAUUUGCUAUCCCUGUAUCUACAGUUGUUUCUGAGUCUUCUUUUAGCACAAGUGGUCGAGUAAUUGCUCCUCAUCAUGGUAGUCUUCAUGAAGAUACUGUGGAAGCUCUUAUGUGUAAUCAAAACUGAUUGUGGGUAGCAUAUCGUCAAAGAGGUGAAAAACCUGAUUAUCAAACUGCAAAUGAUGAUGAAGAUGAUGAUGUUGUAUCUGAAGUAAUAGACUAGUGAUGGUGUUGUUGCAACAAAUGGAAUGCUCAUGGAGACAUGAAAUUAAAUAAUUUUAUUUAUGUUUAUGUUAUUUACUUAGACAAAGACUUUUAUGUAUAAUUUUAAUAUUUGAUGGUUAUGUUGUGUAUGAGAUACUUGUGUUAUUUGUAGGAUAAUUUGUGUUGUUUGAAUACUUGUGUUAUUUGAAUGCUCAUGGGAUAACUUGUGUUAUUUGAUGGUUAUGUUAUGUAUGA